UGGGGAAUAUUGCACAAUUGGCGCAAGCCUGAUGCAGCCAUGCCGCGUGUAUGAAGAAGGCCUUCGGGUUGUAAAUUACUUUCAGCGGGGAGGAAGGGAGUAAAGUUAAUACCUUUGCUCAUUGACGUUACCCGCAGAAGAAGCACCGGCUAACUCCGUGCCAGCAGCCGCGGUAAUACGGAGGGUGCAAGCGUUAAUCGGAAUUACUGGGCGUAAAGCGCACGCAGGCGGUUUGUUAAGUCAGAUGUGAAAUCCCCGGGCUCAACCUGGGAACUGCAUCGGAUACUGGCAAGCUUGAGUCUCGUAGAGGGGGGUAGAAUUCCAGGUGUAGCGGUGAAAUGCGUAGAGAUCUGGAGGAAUACCGGUGGCGAAGGCGGCACCCUGGACGAAGACUGACGAUCAGGUGCGAAAGCGUGGGGAGCAAACAGG
rnacentral:rRNA from 1 species